GUGGGGAAUCUUAGACAAUGGGGGCAACCCUGAUCUAGCCAUGCCGCGUGAGUGAUGAAGGCCUUAGGGUCGUAAAGCUCUUUCGCCGGGGAAGAUAAUGACUGUACCCGGUAAAGAAACCCCGGCUAACUCCGUGCCAGCAGCCGCGGUAAUACGGAGGGGGUUAGCGUUGUUCGGAAUUACUGGGCGUAAAACGCGCGUAGGCGGAUCGGAAAGUUGGGGGUGAAAUCCCGGGGCUCAACCCCGGAAUUGCCUUCAAAACUCCCGGUCUUGAGGUCGAGAGAGGUGAGUGGAAUUCCGAGUGUAGAGGUGAAAUUCGUAGAUAUUCGGAGGAACACCAGUGGCGAAGGCGGCUCACUGGCUCGAUACUGACGCUGAGGUGCGAAAGCGUGGGGAGCAAACAGGAUUAGAAACCCGUGUAGUCC
rnacentral:rRNA from 1 species